rnacentral:rRNA from 1 species
ACACAUGCAAGUCGAACGAGCGAGAGAGAGCUUGCUUUCUCGAGCGAGUGGCGAACGGGUGAGUAACGCGUGAGGAACCUGCCUCAAAGAGGGGGACAACAGUUGGAGACGACUGCUAAUACCGCAUAAGCCCACGGUGCCGCAUGGUACAGAGGGAAAAGGAGCAAUCCGCUUUGAGAUGGCCUCGCGUCCGAUUAGCUAGUUGGUGAGGUAACGGCCCACCAAGGCGACGAUCGGUAGCCGGACUGAGAGGUUGAACGGCCACAUUGGGACUGAGACACGGCCCAGACUCCUACGGGAGGCAGCAGUGGGGAAUAUUGCACAAUGGGGGAAACCCUGAUGCAGCGACGCCGCGUGGAGGAAGAAGGUCUUCGGAUUGUAAACUCCUGUUGUUGGGGAAGAUAAUGACGGUACCCAACAAGGAAGUGACGGCUAACUACGUGCCAGCAGCCGCGGUAAAACGUAGGUCACAAGCGUUGUCCGGAAUUACUGGGUGUAAAGGGAGCGCAGGCGGGAAGACAAGUUGGAAGUGAAAUCUAUGGGCUCAACCCAUAAACUGCUUUCAAAACUGUUUUUCUUGAGUAGUGCAGAGGUAGGCGGAAUUCCCGGUGUAGCGGUGGAAUGCGUAGAUAUCGGGAGGAACACCAGUGGCGAAGGCGGCCUACUGGGCACCAACUGACGCUGAGGCUCGAAAGUGUGGGUAGCAAA